GACCAUUUAAGAACCGGUGAUCCAUUGGAAUGGAGGUAGGUACCGAAUAGCCAGACUCAUUUAUGAGUCCCAGCCCCUCCACUAUGCUAUAUUCAUUCCCAUCUCCAGUUUGCUCUUUAUCAAACAUCAACUCAGAAAUCUCAUCAUCCAUCUCCGUUCCUCUCUACCUCUAAAACCGUAAUUAGGGAAGGUGUUUCUGCCAACAUGUACACCAAGCUCAGAGGCUACUGGAGGAGGAGAGGCUACCAGAGAUUAAAUGAAUCCGGUCGCAGGCGGAGGAAUCAGGUGGAGCUCGGUUCUACCAGGAGGAGAAGAUUCUGGCGGAUCAAGAUCAAACCCAAGCUUAAAAUCUUCCAAAUUGCUUCUCCCAAGAAGUUGUUCAUUUGGCUACGUGACACCUACGUUAGGAUGAUGCUGGGAUUCGCUAACUCCAGGUUGAUUGGAGCUGGAGGCUACGGUUAUGGAUUUCCUGAUGGGAUCGCGGCGUUCGAGAAGGGCCCACUCAAGGAGUAUGAUGAGAAGUUGAUCAUUGAGAUCUACAAGUCUUUGGUGAAGGCGCAGAGCCAAAGCCAAUUGGUUCCUCACGACACAGCCAGGUUUGGCUCUAUGUCUAGACUCACUGCUAUUUUAGAAUAGCGAGUAAGGUUUUUAUGGGCAAUAACAAAAUUCGGAUCCCGAACACCCAUCAAGAAAUAAUGCAAAUUCUGCCCGAAGAUGAGAUAAACAAGAAGCGUCUUUAGGUCGUUUUUCGUCUAACAGGCAGACAGCACAGCAGAAUUAAAUGUUUGUGUAGUCAUUUUCAUGUAUGCAAGAGUCGACUCUACGGAGGGGAAUACUGGAAUUUUAGCAUAUUAUAACAAGGUUCUUCAUUAACAACUCUUACAAAGUGCUCAGCAUUUUCAUCAAAACACCAAUGAUGCAUUAGCUAUAUCCAAACAAAUAUCCAGAUUCAGUAACAUGCACAGGAUUCUGUUAGUUCCUUAUUUGAGUCUUUGUUUGUGAGAUUAAAAGGCAGGUCCAACGCCUGACUAAAAGACCAUUUGAAGUCAUCAUGCAAUGACACCAACGUAAUUGGAAUUCUACACUGGAGACUAAUGGCUAAUGUUAUAAUGGAAUGUUUUAGCCUGGCUUAAUUAAUGAUUAAAUGUGUAUUAACACAUUUAUAAGUAUCAUUUUUGAAUCCUCGCUCCCCUUAUUAAAAAAAUGUUAUACAAUGAAG
rnacentral:misc_RNA from 1 species